GUGCUGUCUCCGUAGGCAUGGACCUGGGCUUUUUCCCCAUCGUCCUCCCGCCCGGGCUGUGCCACGGGACCCCACCGUCCCCCUACCCUCGGCGGGGACUCGACGCCUUCCCAGCGCUGAGCACCGCGGCCAGCUCCGCGCAUCCUCCGUCGGCUGUUUGCGUCGGGGCGGCGGGGUACGCGGCCGGCCCGGCCCCCGGCUGCCAGCAGCCCCGCGGGGCCGCGUGGCCGGGUGAGGCUCCGCCGCAUCCCGACGCGUCCUUCUGCCCCGGGAGCGGCCGCCCGACGUCAUCGGAGCCCGAAAGGCCAUGCUCCUGCUGUCCGACCCCGGGGGCGGCCCCGCCGGAGCCCCGCGCCUUCGAAUGGAUGCGGAUGAAGCGGAGCGCGCCCGGCAGAAGCGGCGCGGCGCCCCCCGCCUACUCCCUGCGCACCAGCUUCAGCACCCGGCAGCUCACGGAGCUGGAGAAGGAGUUUCAUUUCAGCCGCUACCUGUCGCGGGCCCGCCGCCUCGAGGUAGCCCGCUCGCUGCGCCUCCGCGACGCCCAGGUGAAGGUGUGGUUCCAGAACCGCCGCAUGAAGCAGAAGAAGCGCGAGCGAGAGGCGCUGCACGGCCCCACCGCAGCGCCCCGGGCAGCCCCGGGCGGCACCGCCUGAGCCCGCCGCCACGGCGCGCCGCGGGGAUGCUGCGGGAGGCUCCGCGCUCCUCUUCGUACCGCCGCUGCUUUGCUCCGGUUGUGCUGAUGAGGAUAAUCGGGGCGAGCGGUCGCUCCGAAGCGCCGCCGCUCAACUUCGUCGUUUUGCGGGGGGAUGAAAGAGCCAGAAGAGAGCCUCGAAGAGCCGCACCGCGGGGCCGAUCCGGAGCUGGGGGCGGGCAGGACCGCAGCCCCUGGCCCGGGCUCCCCGGUAGCCCUGCCCCGCCGCCUCCCCGAGCCGUGUCCGGUGCCUCGGCCGGGCCGGGAGGCAGCGGGGGCCGGGCCUGCUCGUAGCCGUCGGGGUGGGGGUGUCGGGCAGAAGUCGUGCGGGGGAUGGGCAGAAAUCCCAGCGGGGCAAAGCAGAACAGGGCAAUGCUCCCCUCGCAAGAAAAGGGGGGUGUAUAUCAUUAGCAAGUGUAGCAGAAAUCCCCUUUUUAGAAAAGUACCCUCUUCCUCCCUCCCUGUACAAAAUUGCUAUGAAAAGAGCUUACUUGUACUCAUCCCUCACUAGUUUCCAUCCCCUUUUGUUAUGUGGCUGAUUUAGUUCAAAAUCUGUGAAAGAAAGCUUGAAUAAAUGGUUCACUAGGAGAAAAGCA
rnacentral:lncRNA from 1 species